rnacentral:rRNA from 1 species
UACGUAGGGGGCUAGCGUUGUCCGGAAUCAUUGGGCGUAAAGAGCGUGUAGGCGGCCCGGUAAGUCCGCUGUAAAAGUCAAAGGCUCAACCUUUGAAUGUCAGUGGAUACUGCCGGGCUAGAGUCCGGAAGAGGCGAGUGGAACUCCUGGUGUAGCGGUGGAAUGCGCAGAUAUCAGGAGGAACACCAAUAGCGAAGGCAGCUCGCUGGGACGUUACUGACACUGAGGCGCGAAAGCGUGGGGAGCGAACAGG